AUUGAACGCUGGCGGCAUGCUUUACACAUGCAAGUCGAACGGUAACAGGGAGCUUGCUCCGCUGACGAGUGGCGAACGGGUGAGUAAUGAAUAGGAACGUGCCUAUGGGUGGGGGAUAACCACGGGAAACUGUGGCUAAUACCGCAUAUGAUCGCGAGAUUAAAGGGGGACUCUUUACAAUGCUUCUGCCUGUAGAUCGGCCUAUUUCCCAUUAGCUAGUUGGCGAGGUAAAGGCUCACCAAGGCGACGAUGGGUAGCUGGUCUGAGAGGAUGAUCAGCCACACUGGAACUGAGACACGGUCCAGACUCCUACGGGAGGCAGCAGUGGGGAAUAUUGCACAGUGGGCGAAAGCCUGAUGCAGCAACGCCGCGUGAGUGAUGAAGGUCUUUGGAUUGUAAAGCUCUUUCGGUUGGAAAGAAGGGUUAUAUGGUUAAUACCCAUGUAAUUUGACGGUACCAGCAUAAGAAGCACUGGCUAACUCCGUGCCAGCAGCCGCCGUAACAC
rnacentral:rRNA from 1 species